rnacentral:rRNA from 1 species
UACUUAGGGUCCGAGCGUUGUCCGGAAUUACUGGGCGUAAAGAGCUCGUAGGUGGUUUGUCGCGUUGUUCGUGAAAACUCACAGCUUAACUGUGGGCGUGCGGGCGAUACGGGCAGACUAGAGUACUGCAGGGGAGACUGGAAUUCCUGGUGUAGCGGUGGAAUGCGCAGAUAUCAGGAGGAACACCGGUGGCGAAGGCGGGUCUCUGGGCAGUAACUGACGCUGAGGAGCGAAAGCGUGGGGAGCGAACAGG